CGAAUUAAUUGCGAGCGUAGGGAUCGAAACGACCGCAGCGCUUUAACCGAGUGGACCACGAAUUGAGCCUUAUGUUUUGGAAAUCUGGCGAUUUUGAAAUAAGCCUUAUAAACUGGUAAGGAGGGAGUACACAGGAGAGGUCACCGGGGCCGCUUUAGCGUGGUGCCGCGCGGGUUCUGUCGCUUUUGCUUCACCGUUGGCCUAGCUGCGGAUGGACACUGAGGGAAUGGAAUUCCUACUGGAUGUGGUCGACAGGUUCCCAGUGCGGGAGGAGUAUGCAGAUAAUGUUGACCAUCCGGAUCCAGUCUUGCUCAUGUACCUUCUGGAUAAGGGGGCUGCGAGUCCGGAGAUUGGUCAGGCAGACGUUGAUUCUGGGGUAGCUGAGAUGGUGUGCGGAGGUGUGCUAACUGACGCUGAAGUAGGUGCCCCCCGUAGACGUGAUGAAUCUUCGACGAGGUCUGCCCAAUCAUCGGGCAGAGUCAAUCCACAGGCCCCGGCUGGACUAAGAGGUGAAGCUCAGAGAACAACCAUCUCUAGUUUCUGUUUUUGCUGUUACAAGAGUACCUACGUUUGAUCUGUGGUUCAAUGUUCACAUGAACAAAAGCUUGUUUCUCCAUUUGGGGGAAAGUACUGGUUACACCAAACCUCUAACAAGAAAACUUAGAACUGGAAAAAUUGCUGGUACGAUUAUCAACUCUCAAAUGGUUUUUUAUAGUUUUUCCUGUAUGUACAGAAUUUAGUUUGUGCGGUUCUGCAAAAACAGAAAAGUAUGAUGGCCCAUCGAAGAUGCUAUUCCUCUAUUUGCAAGACCGUAUGGGGAUAAAUGCGGUUGGAACAAAUGUUCUUGAAGGAAUUCUGUCAAAAAGCAGUGAUAUAAUAAAAUCCAGAAUUUGUAGUAAUCAGAUUUGGGUUAGUUUUCUAUAUAAUGAACAUUUAAAUUGUGCAUUUUGCAACUCACCACAGGCUUCGUUUGGGGAGUGCGCCACCGGACCGUGUGCCCUGUCCAUCAAGGAUGAGCGCCCUCGAGUUGUCAAUACGUAAAUAUGAUGAGCAACCAGACAAGAGUGUGGUCCGACCUGAGCUAGGUCUUAGUUUUGACUCGCUAGGGGAGGCGUACGAUUUCUAUAACUUGUAUUUGUGGGAAAUCGGGUUUGGCAUAAGAUAUGGGAAAAGCAGGCUCAAUGCCGAGAGGACAAAAAGCAUGCAGGAGAUAGUUUGUGGGUGUUCGGGGAAACCAGACGCUGAAAACAGCAGGUCCUAUAGGUGCAAGUGCCCAGCUCUGAUCAGGCUGCUAUGUGCAUCAGACAACAGUUGGUACAUAACAGAGCACCAGGCGAGCCACAAUCAUUCGAUGUCGCUUACAAUGGGAGAGAAAGUGCAUUGGCCGUCUCAUAAACACAUAGACGUGUAUACCAAGGAUUUGAUAAGAUAGUUGAGGGAGAACAACAUCAACCUUGGCAAGGUAUACAACAUAAUUGGAAUCUUCUUUGGUUCAGUUGAGAAGGUGCCCUUCACGAAAAGGACACUCAGGAACAUUUGUGGGAAGAUUAGUCGUGAACAGGCUGAAGAUGAAUUACGGAAGACACUGCAGGUGUUUGCCGACAUCUGGUCGAGUGACCCUGGUUUCUCCUAUGUGGUGCUUGCCGAGAAAGACAGCAAGGUGAAGAAUCUCAUGUGGGCUAAUGGGAGCAGAAGGAUGCAGUACAGGUUCUUUGGCGACGUGGUCACAUUCGACACCACAUACAGGACAAAUUUGUACAACAUGCCAUUAUGUUUAUUUGUCGGAGUUAACAAUCACUACCAGAGUAUCAUCCUGGCUGGCGUGCUGAUGCGUGACGAGCAAGAAGAGAGCUUUGAAUGGGUGUUUUCAGAAUUCAUUCGCAUGAUGGGCGGACCUGCACCUAAAACAAUACUAACAGGGCUAUGGAGGUUGCAAUCAAGAAAAUUUAUCCGAACACUGUCCACCGUUUGUGCAAGUGGCAUGUUCUGAAAAAGGCAAAAGAAACACUAGGGUGGCUUUACACAAAAAAAUGUGAUUUUCAAGCUGAAUUUCACAAAGUUGUUAACCACAUGCUAACUGAGGAAGAAUUUGAAUCAGCGUGGGAUGCGCUGCUUGAUAAAUACAAUUUGAGGGGGCAUAACUAUAUGACCCAACUAUAUGAGACAAGACAUAAAUGGGCGAAACCAUAUUUCAGAGAUGUGUUUUGUGCGAAAAUGACGAGUACACAGAGGAGUGAGAGUGCAAACCACAUGCUGAAAACGGACAUGCCCCCUGCAAGCCCAAUGCAUGUUUUCGUCUGACAAUACAUGAGACUUCAAUUUGACCGGAAGCGCGAUGAAAGCUAUGAGGAAAAGAGGACAAUGAUUGGCGGCGUCGUGCGGCGGACUAACCUUGCGAUAGAGCGCCAUGCCAGCAAAAUAUAUACUAGGAAUAUGUUUGAGAAAUUUGGCCGCCUACUGGUAGAAGGAACCGCAGAGUUGUGAUGUCCUUAUUUGAAACGACGCAGAGUUGUGUCGUUGAGCACAUGUAAGGUUAUAUGCUUUUCUGAACAAUUUGUUAGCUAAACUGAAUUUUACUCCUGGCUGUAUGAUAUGACUGUAUGAUAUGAUAAGAAAUCGUAACCGUUUGUGUUCUUGAAAUGUUUAUGGUUGUCUGCACAAUUUGAUAACUGAAGAAAAUUUCACAGCAUGUC